rnacentral:rRNA from 1 species
GAUGAACGCUAGCUACAGGCUUAACACAUGCAAGUCGAAGGACCGGCGCACGUGUGAGUACCGCGUAUCCACCCUUCCCAUUACUGUGGGAUAACAUGCCGAAAGGCAGACUAAUACCGCAUAGUAAUGGAUGGCGAUGCGGUUGAUUAGCUUGUUGGAGGGGUAACGGCCCACCAAGGGGACGAUCAGUAGGGGUUCUGAGAGGAAUGUCCUCCAGAUGGGAACUGAGACACGGUCCAAACUCCUACGGGAGGAAGCAGGGAGGAAUAUUGGUCAAUGGACGGAAGUCUGAACCAGCCAAGUAGCGUGCAGGAGGACGGCGUAUGGGUGGUAAACUGCUUUUGUAUGGGGAUAGGGACCAUACGAAUAAGGACCGGCUAAUUCCGUGCCAGCAGCCGCGGUAAUUC